UUGAACGCUGGCGGCAGGCCUAACACAUGCAAGUCGAACGGUAACAGGAAGAAGCUUGCUUCUUUGCUGACGAGUGGCGGACGGGUGAGUAAUGUCUGGGAAACUGCCUGAUGGAGGGGGAUAACUACUGGAAACGGUAGCUAAUACCGCAUAACGUCGCAAGACCAAAGAGGGGGACCUUCGGGCCUCUUGCCAUCGGAUGUGCCCAGAUGGGAUUAGCUAGUAGGUGGGGUAACGGCUCACCUAGGCGACGAUCCCUAGCUGGUCUGAGAGGAUGACCAGCCACACUGGAACUGAGACACGGUCCAGACUCCUACGGGAGGCAGCAGUGGGGAAUAUUGCACAAUGGGCGCAAGACUGAUGCAGCCAUGCCGCGUGUAUGAAGAAGGCCUUCGGGUUGUAAAGUACUUUCAGCGGGGAGGAAGGGAGUAAAGUUAAUACCUUUGCUCAUUGACGUUACCCUCAUAAGAAGCACCGGCUAACUCCGUG
rnacentral:rRNA from 1 species